rnacentral:rRNA from 1 species
UACGUAGGGUGCAAGCGUUAAUCGGAAUUACUGGGCGUAAAGCGUGCGCAGGCGGUGAUGUAAGACAGGUGUGAAAUCCCCGGGCUUAACCUGGGAACUGCAUUUGUGACUGCAUUGCUGGAGUGCGGCAGAGGGGGAUGGAAUUCCGCGUGUAAGCAGUGAAAUGCGUAGAUAUGCGGAGGAACACCGAUGGCGAAGGCAAUCCCCUGG